rnacentral:siRNA from 1 species
UGCCUCAUUAAAAACCUUACCAGG